rnacentral:rRNA from 1 species
ACUCAAAGGAAUAGACGGGGCCCCGCACAAGCGGCGGAGCAUGUUGCUUAAUUCGAUGCAACGCGAAGAACCUUACCUGGGUUUGACAUGCAGGGUGAAACCCGUGAAAACGGGCGCUCUCCGGAGCCUGCACAGGUGGUGCAUGGCUGUCGUCAGCUCGUGCCGUGAGGUGUUGCCUUAAGUGGCGCAACGAGCGCAACCCCUGUCCUUAGUUGCCAGCGGGUCAUGCCGGGAACUCUAGGGAGACUGCCGGUGCCAAACCGGAGGAAGGUGGGGAUGAAGUCAAGUCAUCAUGCCCCUUAUACCCAGGGCUGCAAACAUGCUACAAUGCUCGGUACAAAGGGCUGCGAUCCCGCAAGGGGGAGCGAAUCCCAGAAAGCCGGGCUCAGUUCGGAUCGGGGUCUGCAACUCGACCCCGUGAAGUUGGAGUCGCUAGUAAUCGCAGAUCAGCACUGCUGCGGUGAAUACGUUCCCGGGGCUUGUACACACCGCCCGU